rnacentral:rRNA from 1 species
AUGCCUACGGGAGGCAGCAGUGAGGAAUAUUGGUCAAUGGGCGCAAGCCUGAACCAGCCAAGUCGCGUGAGGGAAGACGGCCCUACGGGUUGUAAACCUCUUUUGCCGGGGAGCAAGCCUGAGCACGUGUGCCCAGGCGGAGCGUACCCGGAGAAAAAGCAUCGGCUAACUACGUGCCAGCAGCCGCGGUAAUACGUAGGUGGCAAGCGUUAUCCGGAUUUAUUGGGCGUAAAGGGAACGCAGGCGGUCUUUUAAGUCUGAUGUGAAAGCCUUCGGCUUAACCGG